rnacentral:lncRNA from 1 species
AGAACACUACAAAUGAGCGGGGUGGUGGUGGGUGGGUGUCGUUUGAGCUUAUUACAUACAGGGUUAAAGGUCAUUGCAUUAUGACGUCAUAAACGUUUCCACGUAACGUUUUAAAUAAUGAAUGGAUAUUAUUGUGUAGCGAGGUUUAUCUGAAUUAUAACUGUGGAUUUACUGGUUUGAUGUUCAAAUAUAUAAAAGAAGCAGUUCCAGACGAGGAUAUAUAUAAAUGGUGAUUGAGACCCCAGAUCUACUUGCAAGGUCACUUCUACUACGUGUAGUACAGCCCGUCUUCCUUGCCGUCGUGACGAAUGUCUUGCAUAUAUUAAUAUAUAUACACAACAGAGCUGGCGGAAGAGAUUAAUAACUUAUAUAGAUAUGAAGUAAGAUUUCGGAACCGUCUGGAGAAGUACGUUUAAGUGACCGUGACCUUUGGCGCAAAAAGGUGAAAUGUGAAUUUGUUCAAGAUGUUCUGAUCCUAAUUCUAUAUAUGUGAAGUUUCUUGAGAAACGGAUGAGAAAUGAAGCUGCUAGAGCGUAGA